UUACUACUCCCUCCGUUCGGAAUUACUUGUCUCGGAAAUGGAUGUAUCUAGAAAUAAAAUACGUCUAGAUACAUCCAUUUCUGCGACAAGUAAUUCCGAACGGAGGGAGUAGUAA
rnacentral:pre_miRNA from 1 species